UGACCUCGGAUCAGGUAGGGAUACCCGCUGAACUUAAGCAUAUCAAUAAGCGGAGGAAAAGAAACCAACCGGGAUUGCCUCAGUAACGGCGAGUGAAGCGGCAAGAGCUCAAAUUUGAAAGCUGGCUCCUUCGGGGUCCGCAUUGUAAUUUGCAGAGGAUGCUUCGGGUGCGGCCCCUGUCUAAGUGCCCUGGAACGGGCCGUCAGAGAGGGUGAGAAUCCCGUCUGGGAUGGGGUGUCCGCGCCCGUGUGAAGCUCCUUCGACGAGUCGAGUUGUUUGGGAAUGCAGCUCUAAAUGGGUGGUAAAUUUCAUCUAAAGCUAAAUACUGGCCGGAGACCGAUAGCGCACAAGUAGAGUGAUCGAAAGAUGAAAAGCACUUUGAAAAGAGAGUUAAACAGCACGUGAAAUUGUUGAAAGGGAAGCGCUUGCGACCAGACUCGCCUCCGGGGUUCAGCCGGCAUUCGUGCCGGUGUACUUCCCCGGGGGCGGGCCAGCGUCGGUUUGGGCGGCCGGUCAAAGGCUCCCGGAAUGUAGUGCCCUCCGGGGCACCUUAUAGCCGGGAGUGCAAUGCGGCCAGCCUGGACCGAGGAACGCGC
rnacentral:rRNA from 2 species